GACGAACGCUGGCGGCGUGCUUAACACAUGCAAGUCGAGCGGUAAGGCCCCUUCGGGGGUACACGAGCGGCGAACGGGUGAGUAACACGUGAGCAAUCUGCCCAUCACAUCGGGAUAACUCCGGGAAACCGAAGCUAAUACCGAAUACGACCACCUCAGGCAUCUGAUGGUGGUGGAAAGUUCCGGCGGUGAUGGAUGAGCUCGCGGCCUAUCAGCUUGUUGGUGGGGUAACGGCCCACCAAGGCUUCGACGGGUAGCCGGCCUGAGAGGGUGACCGGCCACACUGGGACUGAGACACUGCCCAGACUCCUACGGGAGGCAGCAGUGGGGAAUAUUGGACAAUGGGCGAAAGCCUGAUCCAGCAACGCCGCGUGAGGGAUGACGGCCUUCGGGUUGUAAACCUCUUUCAGCAGGGACGAAGCGCAAGUGACGGUACCUGCAGAAGAAGCACCGGCCAACUACGUGCCAGCCGCCGCAGUAAUAC
rnacentral:rRNA from 1 species